rnacentral:rRNA from 1 species
CCUACGGGCGGCAGCAGUGGGGAAUAUUGGACAAUGGGCGAAAGCCUGAUCCAGCCAUGCCGCGUGUGUGAAGAAGGCCUUCGGGUUGUAAAGCACUUUCAGUGGGGAAGAAAGCCUUGGGGCUAAUACCCUCGAGGAAGGACAUCACCCACAGAAGAAGCACCGGCUAACUCCGUGCCAGCAGCCGCGGUAAUACGGAGGGUGCGAGCGUUAAUCGGAAUUACUGGGCGUAACGCGCGCGUAGGCGGUCUGAUAAGCCGGUUGUAAAAGCCCCGGGCUCAACCUGGGAACGGCAUCCGGAACUGUCAGGCUAGAGUGCAGGAGAGGAAGGUAGAAUUCCCGGUGUAGCGGUGAAAUGCGUAGAGAUCGGGAGGAAUACCAGUGGCGAAGGCGGCCUUCUGGACUGACACUGACGCUGAGGUGCGAAAGCGUGGGUAGCAAACAGGAUUAGAUACCCUAGUAUUC